CCUACGGGAGGCAGCAGUGAGGAAUAUUGGUCAAUGGGCGCUAGCCUGAACCAGCCAAGUAGCGUGAAGGAUGACUGCCCUAUGGGUUGUAAACUUCUUUUAUAUGGGAAUAAAGUGCAGUAUGUAUACUGCUUUGCAUGUACCUUAUGAAUAAGGAUCGGCUAACUCCGUGCCAGCAGCCGCGGUAAUACGGAGGAUCCGAGCGUUAUCCGGAUUUAUUGGGUUUAACGGGAGCGUAGGCGGGUUGUUAAGUCAGUUGUGAAAGUUUGGGGCUCAACCGUAAAAUUGCAGUUGAUACUGGCAGCCUAGAGUCCAGUAGAGGUAGGCGGAAUUCGUGGUGUAGCGGUGAAAUGCGUAGAUAUCACGAAGAACUCCGAUUGCGAAGGCAGCCUGCUGGACUGUAACUGACGCUGAUGCUCGAAAGUGUGGGUAGCAAACAGGAUUAGAUACCCGAGUAGUC
rnacentral:rRNA from 1 species